UACAGAGGGGGCAAGCGUUGUUCGGAAUUACUGGGCGUAAAGGGCGCGUAGGCGGCCUGCUAAGUCGGACGUGAAAUCCCCGGGCUCAACCCGGGAACUGCGUCCGAUACUGGAUGGCUUGAAUCCGGGAGAGGGAUGCGGAAUUCCAGGUGUAGCGGUGAAAUGCGUAGAUAUCUGGAGGAAUACCGGUGGCGAAGGCGGCAACCUGGACCGACACUGACGCUGAUGAGCGAAAGCUAGGGGAGCAAACGGG
rnacentral:rRNA from 1 species